GGCAGCAGAGGCUCUCUGCCAUCUUCUGCCCAUCCUGCGGCACAACGAAGAGACACUGGCAGGAACGUUAAGGAACCAAAUGCUCAUCAUCGAAGCUGAGCAGGUCCUCGAAUCCACCGGAGGACCGGUUCCUGGGCUGUUCGUGAAUAACUGUUACUCUCUUGUCAGGGUCUUUGGCGCCUUUCUCCCUGCGGCGCAGCUCUUGGAGGCCAUGUGCUU